rnacentral:tRNA from 2 species
UCGGGAUAGCUCAGCCGGUAGAGCAGAGGA